rnacentral:lncRNA from 15 species
AUGAGGGGAUUGAGGUGCAUUAAGGAUGAGAAGAUGCCUGAAAAUUGUUUCUCAUUUCAGAUACCCUUUAGUCAAGCCUCAAGCAUUUCUUGGAAGAAGGAGUGGGCACUCUUCGCCAUGUUGAACCGCCAUGUUUCUACAGCCGCAUUGUUUUGCGCAUUUCAUGGCCACCGUAGAUUCUUCUGCACGCAUGGAAUUGGGAGUGUGAGGGCUGAGUUCAAUGGAAAAUAUUCAUGACUGCUGACACGUCCCUGUGUGUGGGCUCUGCUUCUCACAGUUUUCACCAUGGAAACUGCAGAUGGUUGAAUUAGAAUGACAAUGGCUGAUAUUAUAAUCCAAAUGGUCCUUGUUGUUGCAGAUAGAGAAGCAUGAUGAUGAUGUGCACUCCUGCAUGAUGAUGAUGCUUGCUCCCGCAAAAACCCAAAUAAACCACUUGACUCAGUGCCCUGCUUGAAUUCCCACCUUAAUUUGCCUCUUCUUUUUUUUUUUUAUGCCAUCCUGUCAUCUAUUCCUGCUACAGGAGUAGCUGCAGCAGAGGCGGUUAACAUUUCGAGAAGUAAGUUUGUGAUUAAAAUGUCACCCGGUCAAAUCUGGUUUGGAAAAUCCAUCUGAGGGUUAGUAAAGGAGACACACUCUGCCCUCGCUCAACAGUUACUGUCAAGGUCUGGCCAAUAGUACAAGACUGUGGUAGUACUAUAGUAGGUAAAUCCCAAAUUUGAGACUGUCUAGUUACUCCCUUCCCACCUAGCCGCUCCCGUUGCUGUCACUCUGAAUACUGUAAAGUCUUAAGAGAAUAAUAGACGUGUAUGAUUAGGUUAGGAUGACGCACAAUAGAAGUUUCGGUAACACUUUAUAAUAAGGAUACAAAUCAUAUACUUCAAUAACGCUUAACUAAUGCA